GGCAGUGUAGCAUAGUGGUUAAGGAGCAGGACUCAUGAUCAAAAGGUUGCCGGUUCGAUUUCCUACUGCUGUUG
rnacentral:tRNA from 1 species